UCCACAAUAACCAUCUUUACAAUUUCCAUCAGAAUUAAUCUUCACAAAGCUGUUAGAGGGCUUCAGCCAUUUAACCUGAACAAUUCUUUUGUCGGAGAUGUUGCUUAUCAGCAAGUAACGGACUGAUUCCCAGUCAAGGUCAACCUUAAUCUUCUCAAAUUGUCCUUUAAGAAUCAGGACUAACGAUGUAGAGAUAUUGUUAAUACAUUUC
rnacentral:lncRNA from 1 species